rnacentral:rRNA from 1 species
UGGGGAAUAUUGGACAAUGGGCGCAAGCCUGAUCCAGCCAUGCCGCGUGAGUGAUGAAGGCCCUAGGGUUGUAAAGCUCUUUCACCGGUGAAGAUAAUGACGGUAACCGGAGAAGAAGCCCCGGCUAACUUCGUGCCAGCAGCCGCGGUAAUACGAAGGGGGCUAGCGUUGUUCGGAUUUACCGGGCGUAAAGCGCACGUAGGCGGACUUUUAAGUCAGGGGUGAAAUCCCGGGGCUCAACCCCGGAACUGCCUUUGAUACUGGAAGUCUUGAGUAUGGUAGAGGUGAGUGGAAUUCCGAGUGUAGAGGUGAAAUUCGUAGAUAUUCGGAGGAACACCAGUGGCGAAGGCGGCUCACUGGACCAUUACUGACGCUGAGGUGCGAAAGCGUGGGGAGCAAACAGG